CCCUUAGAUGUUCUGGGCCGCACGCGCGCUACACUGAUGCAUUCAACGAGUUUCUUCCUGGUCCGAGAGGAAUGGGUAACCUUUUGAAAGUGCAUCGUGAUAGGGAUAGACUAUUGCAAUUAUUGGUCUUCAACGAGGAAUUCCUAGUAGACGUAGUUCAUCAGACUGCAGCGAUUACGUCCCUGCCCUUUGUACACACCGCCCGUCGCUCCUACCGAUUGAAUGCUCAGGUGAGCCAUUCGGACUUUCAUCAUGCUGGUUUCCAGUUUUGAUGAAGGAAAGUCUUGCGAACCUUAUCAUUUAGAGGAAGGAGAAGUCGUAACA
rnacentral:rRNA from 1 species